rnacentral:lncRNA from 1 species
CCUUUAAUAUCUUUUACAACCCUCUCUCGUAUUAAUGCAAUCGUAAUCACUUGCAAUUUAUAAUGAUUCAUAAUAUUGAUUAAAAGGAGUAAAAAAAACGUUACUACGUUUCCAUAUUUUCUAGUUCGAACCCAAAAGGCUACUGAUUUUUAAAAAGAUUCAUACUUUUUAUAGUUGAGAGUAUUCUCGAAAAUGGAUUUUCAAAAAUACUUGCUACUAUCCACAGGAGGUCAAGUGAUUGACAUUCUCAGAAAUGCUGCAAAUAACUAAUCUUUAAAAUUUCUAUUUUGUAUGUGAAUCUAAAAUGCUUUAUUAGUUGUCUGUGAUAUGAUUCUAAUCAAUAUUUCCUAUUCCUACUUCCCCCUCAUCCUUUCCUUUCUGAGGCUUCGGCCUCACCCAAAUGUAUAAGAAAGAAAUUCGAAACUUUUGGCUCGUAGCUAAGGUUCAAACCUAAAUAAUUUGUAGGUACUGUGGGCAAGUCGCACACUUUCGACUGGUCAAAAC